UGGGGAAUUUUGCACAAUGGGGGAAACCCUGAUGCAGCGACGCCGCGUGAUUUAGAAGGCCUUCGGGUUGUAAAAAUCUUUUCUAUGGGAAGAAAAUGACAGUACCAUAGGAAUAAGGACCGGCUAAUUACGUGCCAGCAGCCGCGGUAAUACGUAAGGUCCGAGCGUUGUCCGGAAUCAUUGGGCGUAAAGGGUACGUAGGCGGGUAAGCAAGUUAGAAGUGAAAUCCUAUAGCUCAACUAUAGUAAGCUUUUAAAACUGCUCAUCUUGGGGUAUGGAAGGGGAAGUGGAAUUCCUAGUGUGGCGGUGAAAUGCGCAGAUAUUAGGAGGAAUACCGGUGGCGAAGGCGACUUUCUGGCCAUAACCUGACGCUGAGGUACGAAAGCGUGGGUAGCAAACAGG
rnacentral:rRNA from 1 species